rnacentral:rRNA from 2 species
AGCAUAUCAAUAAGCGGAGGAAAAGAAACUAACAAGGAUUCCCCUAGUAACUGCGAGUGAAGAGGGAAAAGCUCAAAUUUAAAAUCUGACAGUCUAUGGCUGUCCGAGUUGUAAAUUAGAGAAGUGUUAUCUGCUCAAGCCUGUGCAAAAGUCUCUUGGAAAAGGGCAUCAUAGAGGGUGACAAUCCCGUCUUUGGCACAGAUCACUUGCGCUUUUGUGAUGCGCUCUCAAUGAGUCGAGUUGUUUGGGAAUGCAGCUCCAAAUGGGUGGUAAAUUCCAUCUAAAGCUAAAUAUUGGCGAGAAACCGAUAGCGCACAAGUACCGUGAGGGAAAGAUGAAAAGAACUUUGAAAAGAGAGUUAAACAGUACGUGAAAUUGUUGAAAGGGAAACGCUUGGAGUCAGUCGUGUUCUGCAAAAUCAACCUAACCUUUGGUUGGGUGUAUUUUUUGUAGAAUGGGUCAGCAUCAAUUUUGAUUGUUGGAAAAAGGACUUGGGAAUGUGGCAUCUUUGGAUGUGUUAUAGCCCUUGUUUGUAUACAAUGAUUGGGAUUGAGGAACUCAGUGUGACUUUUGUUUGGGGGCAUUGCCUCACAUCAACGCACUUAGGAUGCUGGCAUAAUGGCUUUAAUCGACCCGUCUUGAAACACGGACCAAGGAGUCUAACAUGCAUGCAAGUGUUUGGGUGGAAAACUCAAGCGCGUAAUGAAAGUGAAAGUUGAGAACCCUGUCGUGGGGUGCAUCGACGCCCGGUCUUGACCUUUUGUGACGGACCUGCGGUAGAGCAUGUAUGUUGGGACCCGAAAGAUGGUGAACUAUGCCUGAAUAGGGUGAAGCCAGAGGAAACUCUGGUGGAAGCUCGUAGCGAUUCUGACGUGCAAAUCGAUCGUCGAAUUUGGGUAUAGGGGCGAAAGAC